UCUUCUUCUUCUUGGUAGCCAUUUUCUUUACUACUUUCUUGGCCUCCUCGACCGUCUUUUUGACCUCUUUCUCGACCUUAAGAUCCUCAUCCAUGGUCUUUUUAUUCUCGUAGACCAUACCAUGUACUCGUGCAGCAGCUUGAAGUACAUGACAGGUUUCAAAAAUAACAGAAAAGAAAAAUGAUUAGAUUCUCAAAUAUCGAUGUGAAAAGAAAAGAAGAACAGAAAAGAACAAUAUGGUU
rnacentral:lncRNA from 1 species